GCCGGAGUGGUGGAAUUGGCAGACACGCGGGAUUUAGGUUCCCGUGCCGCAAGGCGUGAGGGUUCAAGUCCCUUCUCCGGCA
rnacentral:tRNA from 1 species